GCACCAUCGCUUCACCUCAACAACAAAAACAAAAACCAACAAAUCUAUUUUCUCAUCUUUCACUUUUUUUUUCUUUCUCGUGUCGAGUAUCACCAAAACAAAACUCCACUAUUCAACGACUUGUGUUGUGUUAUAUAUACGAGGUACACUCUCAACUUGUCCCUAUCUUAAUCUCUCUCUCUCUCUCUCUCUCAAACCCCUCUUCUAUCUUCUCUUAAACCCAUCGACACAGUAACAAAGGAAAAACGAAACGCUAUCUCAUUCCAACCAACCAUUGCCGUUAAUGCGAUUCUUUAA